rnacentral:rRNA from 1 species
GAUCAUGGCUCAGGAUGAACGCUGGCGGCGUGCUUAACACAUGCAAGUCGAGCGAAGCACUUAAGUUAGAUUCUUCGGAUAAAGACUUUUGUGACUGAGCGGCGGACGGGUGAGUAACGCGUGGGUAACCUGCCUCAUACAGGGGGAUAACAGUUAGAAAUGGCUGCUAAUACCGCAUAAGACCACAGUACUGCAUGGUACAGUGGUAAAAACUCCGGUGGUAUGAGAUGGACCCGCGU